rnacentral:rRNA from 1 species
GACGAACGCUGGCGGCGUGCCUAAUACAUGCAAGUAGGACGCAGUUGCGAACGGGUGAGUAACGCGUCGGUAACUGCCUAUUAGAGGGGGAUAACUAUUGGAAACGAUAGCUAAUACCGCAUACUAGUAGAUGGACCUGCGUUGUAUUAGCUAGUAGGUAGGGUAAUGGCCUACCUAGGCGACGGUACAUAGCCGACCUGGGAGGGUGAUAGGCCAAACUGGGACUGGGACACGGCCCAGACUCCUACGGGAGGGCGCAGUAGGGAAACUUCGGCAAUGGGGGGAACCCUGAACGAGCAACGCCGCGUGAGUGAAGAAGGGUUUCGGAUCGUAAAGCUCUGUUGUGAAGGAAGCGGUACUUAAACAGAAAGGAAUGGCUAACUACGUGCCAGCAGCCGCGGUAAUAC